CUUGCGAGGCAGGCGUGGGCACCACUGAGCUGAAUCCCCAGCCCCAAGGAAUUUUUCAAGAUAUUAAUGUUGAGUAAUUCAGGAAAGCAAAAGUUCUAGACCUGUGGUGGUAAACCUAUGGCAUGUGUGCUGCAGUGGGCACAAAGAGCCCUCUCUGUCAACAGGCAAGCCAAGUCACCCCAGCAGCCGAGCAUCGGAUGAAGUUUUAAAACUGCCACGUGCUGCUCAAAUGGAGUAGAGGAGACUUCAGAACACUUCACUUCAGAACAGACUUCUUUUUCCUAAGAAGACUCACCGGAGUGGCUACUUUUUAUCAGGUAAAUGAAUGUAAGAAUGUAGGUUCUCCUUGUUCUUUAUUUUGUGACUGGCAAAAAGCUGCCCUUCCUAAUACUCUUGAUGUGCAGAUUUUCAUAGAAAGCAAAGAGCCUCUUGAGUGCAAAGGAACCAAGACCUUGACCCCUUACUUUUUGAUCUUCCAAUUUACUACACUCGAAUUAGAUGGCUCCAAUUGAUAUCCUUGGGCAGAAGAGAAUACAAAAGUCACCAGGAAUUAAUCUUGAGGAAAGAGGGGCAUCUGGAGCAGCCAAGCCCUAAGUGACAUAGCAUGUGCCUUGCAAGAAGCUGUUUGUCUCUCAUCAUCUCACACCUUACUUGUAUCAGACAAUAUGUUCCCAAAUAUAAUUUAAAAAAAAAAGAAAAAAAAAGUGCUCUAGCUUUGGGGCCCAGUAUUGGGCUGGGCAGUAACUCUUUUGCAUCAGCAAGACAUUGUAGUUGUAGUAGUAGACAAAAGCAGAACCGCAAGCUAAGGAUGCUAGUCUUCUAUAAUUGUCUCCUCAUCAGCUAAAUAACCUGGAAUCAAAGUAGUCACUUUUUAAUAAUUCAGUGGGAAUGCCAAAACAGAUUACUCCCCCAAUAAUACAUAGAGGUUACCAAAAUUUGGUAAAGAUGUAAUUUUAGGGAAGCACAAUUGAAUUGUGAUUUUAACCAAGAAAUUUCUGCCUGAACAAAAAUACAACCAAAGUGCAGGGCUAGGUAUAGCUCAGUGGUAGAGCAUGGGUUUAGCCUGCACUAGACUAGGUUCAAUCCUCAGCACC